UACGGAGGGUGCGAGCGUUGUCCGGAAUCACUGGGCGUAAAGGGCGCGUAGGUGGCUUAGCAAGCGUGUGGUGAAAGCCCGGGGCUUAACCCCGGGUCUGCCGUGCGAACUACUAUGGCUAGAGUACUGUAGAGGCAGGUUGAAUUCCGGGUGUAGCGGUGGAAUGCGUAGAGAUCCGGAAGAAUACCGGUGGCGAAGGCGGCCUGCUGGGCAGUUACUGACACUGAGGCGCGACAGCGUGGGGAGCAAACAGG
rnacentral:rRNA from 1 species